UCUAAGGAAGAAUUCUGUUGAGGUCGUCUCGUACGGGCUCUCAGCGUUCUCUUAAAACCAACGGUGCCAGAGCUUCGAUCACUUUGGUGCUCAGAUACUGGCGAGGCGCCGCCGCCUUCGUUUCUCUUUCUUGUCAUCACGCACGCUUCCAUCAGGGCCUGUAGCUCAGGUGGUUAGAGCGCACGCCUGAUAAGCGUGAGGUCGGUAGUUCAACUCUACCCAGGCCCACCAUUCCCCGCAGAUGACGGGGGUUCGGUAAGUUCUGGGAAGCGCGAGAUCCGAUCUGACGCCCAGGUCGAAGGGUGGUUCAUAUGUACCUGAUUGGGGCCAUAGCUCAGCUGGGAGAGCGGUAGCUUUGCAAGCUUCAGGUCGUCGGUUCGAUCCCGACUGGCUCCACCAAACUAUGUCGUUCAGCGAUGCGUGUGUGAAUGAGAGCAAAGUUUCGCCCAUAACGGGCGAUUGGCGCGUGUCGUCGCGCACUUACGACGUUUUCGAAAUCGUGAAGAGGAGAUACGCCGAGACAGUAUCGGUUAGAUACUGCUGUGUAUUCAGACUCGUGUGACCGCAUGAGUUUUCGGUUUAUCUUGAAACGCUGGUCUUUCUGACAAUGCCGAUCCGUACCGAGCGGGCGCCUUCGCGGGCGCCUGUGGGUGGGCAUUGUUAAUGAGAGCAAUCAAGUGACCUAAGGGCAUUUGGUGGAUGCCUUGGCGGGAAAGAGGCGAUGAAGGACGUGGUACGCUGCGAUAAGCUACGGGGAGGUGCGAACACCCAUUGAUCCGUAGAUUUCCGAAUGGGGGAAA
rnacentral:misc_RNA from 1 species